rnacentral:rRNA from 1 species
CGAAAGCCUGACGGAGCAAUACCGCGUGCGGGAGGACGCUUUUUGGAGUGUAAACCGCUUUUCUCAAGGAAGAUGAUGACGGUACUUGAGGAAUCAGCAUCGGCUAACUUCGUGCCAGCAGCCGCGGUAAUACGAGGGAUGCAAGCGUUAUCCGGAAUUAUUGGGCGUAAAGCGUUCGUAGGUGGCAAAUUAAGUCUGUUGUUAAAACGUGGAGCUUAACUCCAUAUCGGCAAUGGAAACUGGUUAGCUAGAGUAUGGUAGGGGUAACAGGAAUUCCCAGUGUAGCGGUGAAAUGCGUAGAUAUUGGGAAGAACACCAGCGGCGAAAGCGUGUUACUGGGCCAUUACUGACACUGAGGGACGAAAGCUAGGGGAGCG